CCAUAUUGAACACAACCAACUCUUAGAAAAAACAUCCCUUACUCUUGGAGAUGGAGAUGUAUCUUCCAAUCCUCUUCGUCGCUUCGCUUCUCUUCUCCUACUCUCAUGGUUCAGUGCUAGACUUCUGUGUGGCAGACUUCUCAUUACCCGAUGGACCUGCAGGCUACUCUUGCAAGAAACCUGCUAAAGUGACGGUUAAUGAUUUUGUUUAUUCAGCUUUAGGCAUUGCUGGUGACACUAACAAUCUUAUCAAAGCUAAGGUUACACCAGCAUUUGCAGCUCAAUUUCCGGGUGUGAAUGGGCUUGGCCUUUCCAUGGCACGUCUAGAUCUAGCCGUGGAUGGAGUUGUGCCAAUCCACACGCACCCUGGAGGUUCAGAAAUCCUUUUUGUGGUGGAAGGAACAAUUUGUGCCGGAUUCAUAUCUUCUUCGGCCAACACUGUUUAUUUUAAAACUCUUUACAAAGGGGAUGUUAUGGUUUUCCCACAAGGGUUAUUGCAUUUUCAAUUCAAUUCUGGAAAUAAACCGGCUCUUGCGAUUGUUAGCUUCAGUAGCCCAAGCCCGGGUCUCCAAAUCACCGAUUUUGCGUUGUUUGCCAACAAUUUGCCUUCUGCUUGGUGGAGAAGGUAACUUUCCUUGAUGAUGCUCAGGUCAAGAAGCUCAAGGCUGUUCUUGGUGGCACUGGUUAAAAAAGGCCUUUGAAGCCUUUUUAUUUUUAUUUUUAUUUUUUAUUUUUUAUUAUAAUGGUUUCUUUUUGUAGUACUACUUAAAGAGUUCCUCCAGUCGAGUGUCUUUUGUAUGGGUCUUUAACAUUUCCUUCUGCAGGCAAAUGCAUGUUUUUUUUUCUUUUAAUAAUAUUUAUCUGAAUAAUUGGAGAAAUUCCAUUAGUAUUAUUAGUAUUAUACCUUUCAUAUUA